UACGUAGGGUGCGAGCGUUAAUCGGAAUUACUGGGCGUAAAGCGUGCGCGGGCGGUUAUAUAAGACAGUUGUGAAAUCCCCGGGCUCAACCUGGGAAUUGCAUCUGUGACUGCAUAGCUUGAGUACGGUAGGGGCAGAGGGAAUUUCCGGUGUAGCAGUGAAAUGCGUAGAGAUCGGGAGGAACAUCUGUGGCGAAGGCGGCCACCUGGACCAGUACUGACGCUGAGGCACGAAAGCGUGGGGAGCAAACAGG
rnacentral:rRNA from 1 species